UGUAUAUUUUGGUAAUUGGAUUUUCCGUUCUAAAGCAGGUAUUGAAAAACAAAAAACGAGUGGUUAUUUGAUUUUCGUUUUCAAAGGCAAAAAUUAAAAUUGAAAUACAAGGCGUUUUUCCUUUUCACGAUCAAAAAUGGAUAUACGAAUUUUAAAAAAUGCUUUGAUUUUCAUUUUUUAUUUACAAAAACAAAAAAUAAAAUAAGUCAGAGACAGAAACGAAAUAAGAACCGUUUUUCAUUUUCUGAGACCGGAAGUGGUCAUCAGCAAGGGUGGUCAGAUUGAAUCAGAGCCGAGGACUCUCUGUCCCGCCCACAUUUACCGGCUUCUGCUGUUUAUGGACGCUGCUACCGCUGCUGCUAACAACGUUAGCUUCCAAAAGUGGAGAUAAACUCUACAGCCUUGGUCUGGAUCAUUGGGAACAUCUGAUCUGAUGGACUGAGAGCUACAGAGAACAUGAACAUCCAGCUGUGGUUGUCUGAACAGUCUUCUCUCCAUCGCUGUGAGGAAGAGCAGCACUGAUGUCCUCCUCAUGCUUCCAUUAAGAACAAUGAUGCUGCAGAUUAAGCUCCUCUCUUCAUAAUACUUGUCUUGUGACUGUUCAGUUUUUACACUUCACUGUCAGCAACACAUUAUUUAUUUCAUCCAUUUAUUACGUGUUUACACAUCUUUACAGUUCACAAUUGUUAAAUAAUGCAGUUUUUAAAUGUGCAAUGAAGGAAAUAAUGAAGCUCUUGAGCUGAA